UACGAAGGGGGCUAGCGUUGCUCGGAAUCACUGGGCGUAAAGCGCACGUAGGCGGAUUGUUAAGUCAGGGGUGAAAUCCUGGAGCUCAACUCCAGAACUGCCUUUGAUACUGGCGAUCUCGAAUCCGGGAGAGGUGAGUGGAACUGCGAGUGUAGAGGUGAAAUUCGUAGAUAUUCGCAAGAACACCAGUGGCGAAGGCGGCUCACUGGUCCGGUACUGACGCUGGAGGUGCGAAAGCGGUGGGAGCAAACAGGG
rnacentral:rRNA from 1 species